rnacentral:rRNA from 1 species
GCCUACGGGGCGCAGCAGUAGGGAAUAUUGGGCAAUGGGCGAAAGCCUGACCCAGCAACGCCGCGUGUACGAUGAAGGUCUUCGGAUCGUAAAGUACUUUUCUGGGAGAUGAGAAAGGACAGUAUCCCAGGAAUAAGCUUCGGCUAACUACGUGCCAGCAGCCGCGGUAAAACGUAGGAAGCGAGCGUUAUCCGGAUUUACUGGGCGUAAAGCGCGUGUAGGCGGUUUGGUAAGUUGGAUGUGAAAUCUCUCGGCUCAACUGGGAGAGGUCGUUCAAAACUACCAGACUAGAGGACAGUAGAGGAAAGUGGAAUUCCCGGUGUAGUGGUGAAAUGCGUAGAUAUCGGGAGGAACACCAGUGGCGAAAGCGGCCUUCUGGACUGUAUCUGACGCUCAGACGCGAAAGCUAGGGGAGCGAACGGGAUUAGAUACCCGGGUAGUCCC